CUCCCUCUGUAAACUACUCCCUCCGUUCCGAUUUACUCGUCGUGGUUCCGUCCCUCUGUAAAGAGCGUUUAGAUCACUACUUUAGUAUUCUAAACGCUCUUAUAUUAGUUUACGGAGGGAGUAAUUAAGUUCAAUAGUCAAUACCAUCUGUCUAGAUUGACCACUCAAUCAUGUUUACAUGUUGGGAAGAUUCCAGUAGUUCUUAGCACUAGUUUUCAGAAUGGAGCAAUAUUAUAUGCUUCAUAAGUAAAUAACAUGACCAGCAUGGAGUCAAUUUUCUGAAAACUAGAAUAUCGAAUUUUGCUUCACAUAGCUAGCUUCAGGAGUUUGUUGAUAAUCUAGAGUCCCCACUCAUCAAGCAAUCCAAGCGAAAUAUCGAAUUGAGCUAUGCAAGGCAUGGUUCAUCUAAGUUCGAAUUGCUUUGUUAAUUAGUAAUGAUAUCGUCAAGCAUAAGUAUUCCAUGAUCACUUUUCAGUUUGACCUGUGUUUUAGUCCUACUUGAUUUAGUCCAUUUAUUGUCGUUUGCUGGAUGCAUCUCAGAUUCUGAGGUGUAUCUGAGCUUAACUAAGAAGCUUCAUUCGCGUGCAUAAAGUUGAAUAAUCCUCGGAUCCAACUGUUUCUAGAAAUCGAUAGUGCAGGAGAGUGAGAUUAAUUGCUUCUCGUGAGGGUGAUUUCUUAAGUACCUUCAUCUGAUCAUAUAAUUAGAGUUGAUGGUUGCAGAGCUGGCUGCAGAAGCUGAGUAAUUUUAUUUUGAUGCGCCGCAAGGUUGAAGGUUGAAGUAGGAUGUCUGCGAGAUCAGAGUGUGCCGCCAACUUUGUUUCCUUUGGGUAGUUGCCCUGAUGGGUUAUGUGCUCCGAUCAGGUAAAGAACCCUCUGCUCAGAAUACCAGGACCUGUGCAAAAGGGGUUUUGUCAUGUGCAGCAUGAGAUUUGACCCUAAGACUGGGCAACAUAUGCCUUCGUCAACCGGAAAACAAAUACUGUGCACGACAAAAUGAUAAAGCAAAGGCAGGAGUCUGCCAAAUGGUGGGAAGAACCUAUUAACAAGGCAUUCAUAAGGCUCUCGAGAAGAUGAUGAAGCCGGCUACUGGCUAUGUGGCGGGUGUCGGUACUGGGGCGACGGGACACAUAAUUUUCCAGCACCGGUAUCAACUAUAAACCGGGUGAGACGUGGGUGAUGAAGAAAUCCUUGGCGUACGAAGAAACUCCCCAAUCAGACAAGGGAGAAAAGGGUCCUAAAUGGUGGGAUAUUCAUAUCCCUGAUCACGCCAUAUUACGAUGUGUACAAAGACCUCUCAACCGAAAUGACGAAUCUGCAUGACCACAUGAAAUGCAAAUAAGGAGGACUACCUACUCAUGCCCUACCUUGUAGUGUAAGUCCUAUUCGUGCCCUACCUUAGGGCAUCUUCAACGCUAACCUGUAUAUUUGUACUGUAAAUGUCCAUUUUUACGUCCGGACAGAGGUCCGGACACUGAUACAGAAGCGUGCAAUUCAACGCUAGAUGCAAACAUC